rnacentral:rRNA from 1 species
GUGAGGAAUAUUGGUCAAUGGGCGAGAGCCUGAACCAGCCAUCCCGCGUGCAGGAUGACGGCCCUAUGGGUUGUAAACUGCUUUUCUGCUCCAAGAAACCUGAUUACGUGUAAUCAGUUGACGGUAGAGUAGGAAUAAGCAUCGGCUAACUCCGUGCCAGCAGCCGCGGUAAUACGGAGGAUGCAAGCGUUAUCCGGAUUCAUUGGGUUUAAAGGGUGCGCAGGUGGGAAUGUAAGUCAGUGGUGAAAUACUGCCGCUUAACGGUAGAGCUGCCAUUGAUACUGCGUUUCUUGAGUAUGGUUGAGGUAGGUGGAAUGUGUUGUGUAGCGGUGAAAUGCAUAGAUAUGACACAGAACGCCGAUUGCGAAGGCAACUUACUAAGCCAUUACUGACGCUGAGGCACGAAAGCGUGGGUAGCGAACAGGAUUAGAAACCCCUGUAGUCC